AAUCCAUGCAUUAGGCACUUCCGGAUUAAGUCUUUGAAUCAUUUCCAUGCUUUAUAUAGCGUCUCAUCCUCCAUCUGUCGAAAAUAUGUGAUGUCAUUUCUAAGCUU
rfam:Gossypium raimondii Chr11_contig_647, whole genome shotgun sequence.